UUUUAACAACUAUUUAACAUAUUAUCUAGUAAUGUUACGGAAGAGUCUAAGAAUGUUGCAAAUGAUAAUUAUAAUUGUAGAUUAUAAACUUUAUAAGCACGUCCUACUUAUUAAGAAAAAAAAAAAUUUUUUUAUAUAUAAAAGAGAGGAUAGGAUUCUCUUUAUUUUGGGUUUCUAUCUAAAAACCUAAGUUAAAUUAUAUAUACUAUUCUUUAUCCCUAACUCCAGUACAUUAUGCGUUUUCAUAAUACAUACAAGUAUAUGAAAACCCGAUCAAAGUGUAAUAUUAAUAUUGCAGAAAAGGGAAAAAAGUAUAUGAAAUACCAAUUAUAAAAAAGGAUGGUGCAAAUCUUUAAAACUAAAGAUGAAGAAGGGGUGGGGGUAUUUAUUUUAUUAUCAAUCAGCCACAAGUUCCCUUACGGCUACUUUGCUAUAACUUCACGAGAGAAACUCCUCAUCAUACCAUUUAUAAUGCCAUAAGGCUAAUUAUAUUUAUAAAUGUUCUUGAUUGCAGAAUGGCCCCCAUGUGAUAGACGAUUAGUAUCUCUUAAAUAUAAUAGUUCACCAUUGCAUACUUAUCAAUGAUUACUCGGAAUUCCUGAUUCACGUAAUCGAAUUUCAGAUUACGAUCCUAAUAUCAUCUUUGUUAACGAUUUGCUUUAUUAUCUUUAAUUUUUUAGAAAAUUGCUUCGUAUUGAUAGAUUCAAGUAGCACGUCUGUAGCCCUUGCUCCAUAAGGGUCAUGAAGACUUAUCGUAUUCCCAAAAUAUUUAUUGUAAAAAUAUAUCUCUAAAUAAUUAAUUAGAGAUAGGGAUUGCGUUCGUUAGCGGACUCAACCUAACAUCUCACGACACGAACUGCCGACAGCCAUGCAACACCUGUAACUUAAUUUAAUUACAAAUACUUGUCUUAAAAUUAAGCUAUACAAGGAGAGGUAAGGUUUUACGCGGAUUAUCGUAUUAAACAACAUGCUCCACUCCGGGUCUUUAAGAUGGUCUAAUCUUUUUGCUUUCUGUCCUGAAACAGUACUCACAAGGUGUUACACAUACAGCAGUUUGCUUAUUAUUUAACAUUAUAACAUUAUCUAAAUAUAAAGUGUAAAUAGUUUACGGUCUGGACUACACGAGUAUCUAAUUCGUUUUGCUCCCCAGACUUUCAUUCCUCAGUGUCAAUUGGUAACUGGAUAAUUGCCUUCGCCUUUAGCGUUCUACUAAAUAUCAGUGGAUAUCAUCCCUUCUCUUAGCAUUCCAUUAUCCUCUAUUCAAUUCUAGUACAUCCACAAUGUGGAUAAAUACAACCUACGAAUCCUUAAUACCUAUUAAUUCUAUUUAACGUUAGCCCAGUUCGUUUAACCGCGUCGGCUGGCACGAAACUUAGAUUGGACUUAUGGUAAGGUAACGUCAUUAUCCUCCCUUACUAUACUCUAUUCUUGUUAUUCAAAAGUAAACAUUUAACCACAAGAGAAAAGAGUUCUGGUUAGCUGGGUCACUCUUUCGAGCAUUGCCCAAGAUCCUCCUCUGCAGCAUAUCUAGUAAUUUAGAUGUGAUCGGUUAUUCUCAAACCAAUUGCGAGAAACUAAGCUUUCGCUAAUUCUUAUUCGUCAUAGGCUUGGUAUGCUUUUACCAUAUACCAACUACCUGCUAAAACAUAAGCUAAUCAAUAAUAUAAAUUAUUGGUAUAUACUUAUUUAUACUCGCCUGUACGCUAUUAACUAUUACAUAAUAAUUAGUAACUUGCAUGAGUAAAACUACCAGAUAACGUUCAAACUCUGCCAAGAUUAAACAGAUGAUUUAUUAUUACAAAUAUAUAUUUACAUAUAUAUUUAUACAUAUUUUAUACGUAAUUAUUACGAUUUAUCUAAUCAUUACUUAUAAAUAAUAAAUAGACCUUAACCUUUAUUUUUUAUAUCAUCAUAAAUAAUAGUAGUUCUUACUUUUCACUAUGAUGUGAUCACACUCUUUACUUUUUUUAUUCUUAAUAAAAAAAGUAAAAAGUAUUAUCUAUAUAGUUUACGGGUACAUUUUUACUUUAUAAUUUAGAACUUUUUUAUAUAUGAUAUAAAAAAAGCAAAGACACCAUAACCCCGGAUCUUAGUCUUUUAAUUAAUUAUAUUUAGUAAAAAGCAGCAUGUGAUAUCAGAUGAAAUAUUAAAUGAAAACUAAGACAAUAAUUAAGAACCAUCUAAUUCUCAAAUAAAGUAAAAGCCAAAUGCCUACCUUAUAUAAAUAUAUUGCCUUUUAUAAGUAAUAGACUAAUAGACUCAAUAUUAUAGCAUAUUAUUCUCAUGUAUAUGUAUAUGUAGAUGUAGAUGUAUAUGUAUAUGUAUAUGUAUAUGUAUAUGUAUAUGUAUAUGUAUAUGUCUUGAUAUAAUCCAGUAUUCUACGAUAUCUCCGGUGGAUUUUUUACAAUAAAAAUCCUAUCCUUAUUACUUUAUAUUUCGCCUUUACAUGCUAUGUGGAAUAUUAAUGAUAUACGCAUUCUUAAAAAAAGUAUAAAUAAAAAAGAGAAAAAUGAAAUAUAGGUAAGUCUUAUCUAUCCACUUACAUUAUUCCGUAAUGUAAAGAAGAUAAAAAGCGUAGAAUAGAGAAUAGAAUAAGGUAAAAGCCAUUAAUAAAAAAGAGAGAAUUAUUAUAUGCCUUUGAUUUAAUUAAAAUAGACGCUUUGCAUAAGGUAUAAGGUUGGGCCUAUGGUUUAUAUUCAUAUAAAGUUAAAAACAAAAUUUUACUCUUGUCCUUUUUUUAAUAAGGAAACCUUUUUUAUUUUUAGUUAUUUAUAAGCUUUUUUUAUAUAUAAUAUAAAAAAGCAAAGAGUGUGGGGACAGAGACUACUUUUAUAUAAAUGUACGGCUAUACAAAAUAGUAAUAUAAUAUUU
rnacentral:rRNA from 1 species